rnacentral:lncRNA from 1 species
UGGCUUGCCAGGGGGUCCAGGCCUGUCGACCGAAGUUUGGUUGAGGUGCCUGGCGAAGAGGGGUAGCUAUCCAUCUGAGAGGAGCUCGAAUAUCGCAAAUCCUGUUGGGUGCCUUGGGUGUUAAGGUUGCAGGCGAGGACCAUUUGCCAUAGGAGCUUGGUCGGAGGCUUUUCGCAGACGCGGUCCGAUUUCGUGUAGACUUUGGCAGGGGGUCGACCGGCGGUGGAUGUUGGAUGGCGCUGG